rnacentral:rRNA from 1 species
GUGGGGAAUAUUGCACAAUGGAGGAAACUCUGAUGCAGCGACGCCGCGUGAGUGAAGAAGUAUUUCGGUAUGUAAAGCUCUAUCAGCAGGGAAGAAAAUGACGGUACCUGACUAAGAAGCACCGGCUAAAUACGUGCCAGCAGCCGCGGUAAUACGUAUGGUGCAAGCGUUAUCCGGAUUUACUGGGUGUAAAGGGAGCGUAGGUGGCAAGGCAAGCCAGAAGUGAAAACCCGGGGCUCAACCGCGGGAUUGCUUUUGGAACUGUCAUGCUAGAGUGCAGGAGGGGUGAGCGGAAUUCCUAGUGUAGCGGUGAAAUGCGUAGAUAUUAGGAGGAACACCGGAGGCGAAGGCGGCUCACUGGACUGUAACUGACACUGAGGCUCGAAAGCGUGGGGAGCAAACAGGAUUAGAAACCCCGGUAGUCC